rnacentral:tRNA from 1 species
GGCAAGAUGGCCGAGCGGUUAAGGCGCUAGCUUCAGGUGCUAGUAGAGUAAUCUGCGUGGGUGUAAGUUUUCUCCAAAGUUCCUUGCUUCGACUCAUCGUUCUAACAAAAAAACAGUCGAGUCCCACUCUUGUCA